ACUGUGAUUAAGCUGAUCGAGAGG
rnacentral:piRNA from 1 species